UCCAGGAUCACGACCUGAGCCAAAGGCAGAAGCUCACCUGAGCCACCUGGGCACCCUCAAGUCUCUUUCUGUCGGGCAGUGCUGUGCUAACCACUGAGUUUGUGCAAGAAUGGAACAAGCUGUCUUAGCAGAUUGGGAAGCCUGGGAGGACAGACCUCUUGUCCACCUUCUUCUCCACCAUCCCCCAGUACACAGCAAGUGCCUGGCACACAGUAG